UCUCAUGGCGUCCUACUUCGUGUUACCUAAAGCCAAGGGCGAUUAGAAGGUAAUCGCCUCCUGGUCAUGCUCCCACUGGUCACCAGUGUCCGCGGGGGGACCCCACAUUGUGGCCAGAGCAGGCCUGUGGCUGCGCUCAAGGCGGGAGCGUUCAUAGCUUUCCUGGCGGGGGCCCUGCGGGACGCCCAGGCAGCGUCCCUUUCCCUUGCUCACCUGGCCCUGAAGUGAGGGGGGAGGUGUAACAAUGCAGUGGGAACCCCAAAGUGUGUCUCGGCCGUGCCUUUCACAUUCCAAACAAUGCAAAAGCUUGAGGAAAACCUCGGCAGUUGAAACCGUGAUGCAGUUCAGCAAAGAAGUAGCUCCUGUCCUCGUAAAAUCAGUGAAGUUCUCACGGACAACCUCAUUGAGAUUUAAACCUCUGACACAGGGAGCUGACCUAUUCACCUUAGAAUCCUCUGGGGCACCCAUUACAGUGUCUGUACCAAGGAGGCAAUAAAGAACGGCGGAACAGACUGGAGCAGAAGGACCACCCAGCAGAGUCAAGCCAAAUCACUGACCCUUAGAGGCCUGAUAUGAAUGUUAUGGAGUCAGUCCAUUGGAUUCUGCAGUAAUCUGCCGAUCUACAGUAUUACCACAGUAAAUAACGGAUAGACCUGAAAAUGAACAUGUGCCUUGUGCCAAAAUUGCAGGAAACCUCACCAGUAGAAACAAUUUUAUAUGAGGGAAUGUACUCUCUCCUUUGCAUUUUUCCUCAAUUCUGUAUUUUUAGCCCCUUACUUGUCUCUACAGAGCCUCAGUCGCUUAAUCUAAUUGCUGACUGAACAUCUCCAGGAAA